AAUGCAAUUCAACAAAAGACUUGAAAUGAUCAAUAGUGGAAGGUUGAUAGUUUAGGGUUUUUAUCGUUGGAAUGAGGAAUUGAAGAGCAGCUUCCACUGAAUUUGAAGCCAAUUCUUUCACUUUGUUGUGGCUCAUUCUUUCAUCAGCAGAAGAAGAAGCAUAUAAAUGAAGAAAAAAAAUGUGGAAGGUGGAAGGUGGGAAGAAGGAAGAAGGAAGGCUCACUAUGAUCGAGUUCCGUUGCACUAUAAAACUGAAGAGAAACCGAUUUAGCAGGUCCCGGUUCCCCAAAAUCAUGAACAAUCACUACAACUCCUUUAAUCCAACUCUCUUCUCCACCAUCAAUUCUUUGUUUAUUUCGAUUCAUCCUCGCCAUUGAUUUUUAUGAACAGCAGCAGCAGCAGCACAUAAUUAGGUGUUUGUGAAAAUGCCGAUCGCCAGAACAACCGAAAAAAAAUGUGAGUUCGUUUUCACUUCUUUACUUUUCGAAUCUCUGAUAUGAUUUUUCUUUCGUUUCUAAAUGAUUGGAUUGAAUAAAUUCAGAGAUGUUUAAUAGCGGAUUCUUUUCUUCCGUUUUCAGAAAUGAAUCUAAUCCUUUCCUUCCC